UACGUAGGCAGCAAGCGUUGUUCGGAAUUACUGGGCGUAAAGAGUGUGUAGGCGGUGCUCCAAGUCUGGUGUGAAAUCUCCCGGCUUAACUGGGAGGGUGCAUUAGAAACUGGAAUGCUAGAGGAUGGGAGAGGUAAGCGGAAUUCCUGGAGUAGCGGUGAAAUGCGUAGAUAUCAGGAGGAACACCUGUGGUGUAGACAGCUUACUGGACCAUUUCUGACGCUGAGACACGAAAGCGUGGGUAGCAAACAGG
rnacentral:rRNA from 1 species